rnacentral:rRNA from 1 species
AGGAUGAACGCUGGCGGCGUGCCUAAUACAUGCAAGUCGAGCGGCAGCGCAGGGUGCUUGCACCCUGGCGGCGAGCGGCGGACGGCUGAGUAACGCGUAGGAACGUACCCUAAAGUGAGGAAUAACUGCCCGAAAGGGUGGCUAAUGCCGCAUGUGCUCUUCGGAGUAAAGCUUCGGCGCUUUAGGAACGGCCUGCGUCCGAUUAGCUAGUUGGCGGGGUAAUGGCCCACCAAGACUGUGAUCGGUA